CCUACGGGUGGCUGCAGUGAGGAAUAUUGGUCAAUGGGCGAGAGGCUGAACCAGCCAAGUCGCGUGAGGGAAGACGGCCCUAUGGGUUGUAAACCUCUUUUGUCGGGGAGCAAAACACGCCACGCGUGGCCUUCCGAGAGUACCCGAAGAAAAAGCAUCGGCUAACUCCGUGCCAGCAGCCGCGGUAAUACGGAGGAUGCGAGCGUUAUCCGGAUUUAUUGGGUUUAAAGGGUGCGCAGGCGGAAGAUCAAGUCAGCGGUAAAAUUGGGGGGCUCAACCCCUUAGUGCCGUUGAAACUGGUUUCCUUGAGUGAGCGAGAAGUAUGCGGAAUGCGUGGUGUAGCGGUGAAAUGCAUAGAUAUCACGCAGAACUCCGAUUGCGAAGGCAGCAUACCGGCGCGCAACUGACGCUCAUGCACGAAAGUGUGGGUAUCGAACAGGAUUAGAUACCCUAGUAGUC
rnacentral:rRNA from 1 species